CCUCAGGAGGAUGCAGGACUCCACGGUGGCUGAUCCUAAGGAACAGGGUCCAGUUCCUCCAGCAGAAAAAGCAGGGGGCCGAAUCUGCUCUGCUGGACUCGAAGAGGACCCUGCCAACCUCAAGAUCCCCCUAUGGCUCUGUGAGCACACUCGUGGGUGGAGGCCCAGCUGGGGACUGCAGUCUCACAGGAGGACACUGCAGCCAAACAGACGCUAUCAGGCCCCAUCAGAAGGUGCUCCUGGGGAUCCCGUAUUCAAGGUUGGAUGGGGCCUGAGCCAGGAACCAUGACGACCACAAGGGAGACCAACGUGAGGGGAAUGUUGGGGUGGAGAGUAGUGAGGUGGAGCCCAGAGAGCCAGAGAACUACAGAACUGGUUAGACUGGGAAGGAGUUGAAAAUGGGGGUGAACAGUGACUACUACCAGGGUUAGAGCUGAAGGAGUCCGCACUUCCAGCAGCAUCGUGCUUCGGCAGUGAGGCUGAUGAGGGGCCUGGGGGACACUGGGUCACUGGGGAAGAAGAGAUGGGAGGAGGAGGAGGAAGCAGCAGGACAAAGGCCAAGUUUGGCGACCGAAGGUAGAGGCCCGAAGAAAGAGGGCAACCUCAGGUCUGUGCAGACUGACAUGCCGCAGGUGAAGGUGUCAGAGUCAGGAGCGUUCCUGGUUAUUUCCAAAACAGAGGUUUGGGGCGCAAUGGGUAGGGUGCCGUCGGGGGAGGGGUCAGAAACGAGCUGCUUCGUGGGUCCGCAGUGCUGCCCUGCAGGACAGCUUGGUUCUCAUCAGUCCCUGCACCACCAGUUUAGAUCCUGGGCCCUGACCCCGUUUUUCCACACGCCUGUCCCAACACAAGCAGCAGGCGAGAGUCAGAGUUAAACCCCAUCUGGAGCAAUCUGCUCUGAUCAGGCUGAGCGCAGGCCCGGGCCGCGGCCUCUGCGCCUCCUGGCCCGAGGUCAGCGUGGUGCCCCGUCUGGCCGCGUUGGCGGCGGCUAAACCGGCUGCGCCAGAUCCGUGCGGGGGCGGCCGCGCGUUUCCGCAGGCUCAACGCCAGGGGGCGGCGCCCGCGGAUGGGCCGAGACCUUGACCCCGACCUGGCCCUGGGAAGCGCGCGCCGCUCCCGCCUCGCGCCCCUGAGCCUUGGGCGGCCGGGCUGGGAGCUGGAGUCACGCGCGCCGCCGAGCCCCGGCAGCCUACGCGCUCGGGUCAAUGUCCCGCCGGCCACGCGGCCACAACCAGCGGGAAGCUGAGUGGGGAGCACGAGGGAUCAUCAGCGCCCCAAAAGGGGAGAGUUCGCCAGUCCACGGUGAGGCAGAACUGGAGCCUACUGGAGCCACGUCCUCACCGCACACCGCCCACCCAGACCAAGACUCCUUUGUUAGCGGAGAAGCGCUUGGGAUGGAGAAAUCGAGCCUGGGGGGAUUCAAUAACUUCCACAAGGUCACCUGUGAUGUGACAGAACCAGUAUUUAAACCCAGGUGGUCAAGCUCUUUUCCCUCCCCAAGGCGCCCCACAGAAAGAAGCGUCUGGUGUGGUGUCUUCCUUCCGGUGCAGCUGAGAGUUCCUCCCAGGAACUGCUGCCUAUGUGGUCUCCAGGUCAGGAGAAUCCAGUCUUUUGCAUUCUGGGCUUCUUUGCCUUCUGGACUUGAAGCAGUGUUUCUCAGAUAUAGAGAUUAUGUCAGAAAGUUAAACUGAGUGACAGCCGUCCACACUGGUGUUAUGUUGUGUUAAAUGCAAAUUUGGCUGAGGUAAUGAUUGAUCUUCACACCCGUUAGGAGGCUGGGGACAGUGGUAAAGAGAUUCUUCCCUCUUACAAAUGCCCUGUAUGGAAAAUUCUGACACAUAUUACUUUCAAAUAUAAGUCUUUCCACAGUGUCUCAGA